rnacentral:rRNA from 1 species
UGUGGUUAAUUCGAUGCAACGCGAAGAACCUUACCUGGUCUUGACAUCCCGGAGACCCUUAGGAAACUAGGGGUGCUUCCAUCUGGAAGAAUCUGGAGACAGGUGCUGCAUGGCUGUCGUCAGCUCGUGUCGUGAGAUGUUGGGUUAAGUCCCGCAACGAGCGCAACCCUUGCCUUUAGUUGCCAGCAGUUCGGCUGGGCACUCUAAAGGGACUGCCGGUGUUAAACCGGAGGAAGGUGGGGAUGACGUCAAGUCCUCAUGGCCUUUAUGACCAGGGCUACACACGUACUACAAUGGCCGAUACAAAGGGCAGCGACACUGCGAGGUGAAGCCAAUCCCGUAAAAUCGGUCUCAGUCCGGAUUGGAGUCUGCAACUCGACUCCAUGAAGUUGGAAUCGCUAGUAAUCGUGGAUCAGCAUGCCACGGUGAAUACGUUCCCGGGCCUU